rnacentral:rRNA from 1 species
UACGGGGGGGGCAAGCGUUGUUCGGAAUUACUGGGCGUAAAGGGCUUGUAGGUGGCCAACUAAGUCCGACGUGAAAUCCCCAGGCUUAACCUGGGAACUGCGUCGGAUACUGGAUGGCUUGAAUCCGGGAGAGGGAUGCGGAAUUCCAGGUGUAGCGGUGAAAUGCGUAGAUAUCUGGAGGAACACCGGUGGCGAAGGCGGCAUCCUGGACCGGUAUUGACACUGAAAAGCGAAAGCCAGGGGAGCAAACGGG